rnacentral:rRNA from 1 species
UGGGGAAUAUUGCACAAUGGGCGAAAGCCUGAUGCAGCAACGCCGCGUGCGGGAUGACGGCCUUCGGGUUGUAAACCGCUUUCAGCAGGGACGAAGGUUUUCUGACGGUACCUGCAGAAGAAGCACCGGCUAACUACGUGCCAGCAGCCGCGGUGAUACGUAGGGUGCGAGCGUUGUCCGGAAUUAUUGGGCGUAAAGAGCUUGUAGGCGGUCCGUUGCGUCGGAAGUGAAAACUCAGGGCUUAACCCUGAGCCUGCUUUCGAUACGGGCGGACUUGAGGGAUGUAGGGAGAACGGAAUUCCUGGUGGAGCGGUGGAAUGCGCAGAUAUCAGGAGGAACACCAGUGGCGAAGGCGGUUCUCUGGACAUUUCCUGACGCUGAGAAGCGAAAGCGUGGGGAGCAAACAGGCUUAGAUACCCUGGUAGUCCACGCCGUAAACGGUGGGCACUAGGUGUGGGACCCAUUCCACGGGUUCCGUGCCGUAGCUAACGCAUUAAG